rnacentral:rRNA from 1 species
CAUGUCCUUUUGAAUUUUAUUUAAGGUCUAUCCUGCCCAGUGAUUAUUUUAAAUGGCCGCGGUAUUUUGACCGUGCGAAGGUAGCAUAAUAAUUAGUUUUUUAAUUGAAGACUGGUAUGAAUGGGUGAACGAGAAAACUACUGUCUCUUUUUUGUUUAUAGUAGAAGUUAAUUUUUAAGUAAAAAAGCUUAAAUAAUUUUAAAAGACGAGAAGACCCUAUAGAGUUUAAUAUUAAUGUUUUAUUUAUAAUUUUAGAAUUUAUUUUUAAAUAUAAUUUUUAAUAUUUGGUUGGGGUGACAAAAAGACUUAAAAAACUCUUUUUUAUUAAUUUACAUAUUAAAUGAUUUUUUGAUCCAAUGUUUUUGAUUGAAAGAUUAAAUUACCUUAGGGAUAACAGCGUUAUUUUUUUAGAGAGUUCUAAUCGAUAAAAGAAAUUGCGACCUCGAUGUUGGAUUAAAGUUUAUGUUAGGAGCAAAAGCUUAAUUAUUAGGUCUGUUCGACCUUUAAAACUUUACAUGAUCUGAGU